GACGAACGCUGGCGGCGUGCUUAACACAUGCAAGUCGAACGAAGUGGCGAACGGGUGAGUAACGCGUAAUCAACCUGCCCUUCAGAGGGGGACAACAGUUGGAAACGACUGCUAAUACCGCAUACUGAAGGAGGGGAUUGCGUCUGAUUAGCUAGUUGGAGGGGUAACGGCCCACCAAGGCGAUGAUCAGUAGCAGGGCUGAGGGGAUGAACGGCCAAAUUGGGAAUGAUACAAGGCCCAGAACCCUACGGGGGGCAGCAGUGGGGAAUCUUCCGAAAAGGACGAAAGUCUGACGGAGCAACGCCGCGUGUGUGAUGACGGCCUUCGGGUUGUAAAGCUCUGUUAAUCGGGACGCGGUACCGGAAUAGAAAGCCACGGCUAACUACGUGCCAGCAGCCGCGGUAAUAC
rnacentral:rRNA from 1 species